CCGUUGGGAGGGAAACGAAUGCGGCUGAAGUGGCUCCCCGUCAGGCUCAGGAGACGUCGGUGCGGUCUCGUUGCGUCGCGGUUGCUUCCGCGUCGCGGCUGGGCGCUCGCCGACCGAUCUGCACUUCUGCGGGGAGCCGGCCAACGGCAGUUGCUCCCGGCCCAUGAGGGCGCCGCGGGUAGGUGGCCCUCCGCGUUUGCGUGGGGAACUUAUAGCCCGGCGUCUGGCGUUCCGGGACGCGACUGAGGAGAGUCUUGCGAGUCCUUCGCACGAGCAGCGCAGGCCGCCGUCAGGUGGCUGGGCCGCUCUCGUCCGGCGGGCGGCCGCGGGGGUUACUGCGUGCAGUGGCAGCCGACGGACCCGACUGUCGGGAGGGAGGCCGGUCGCACCUUGCGCUGCGGUCGUUGGUGCCCGAAUGGCCGCAUCCGACCCGUCUUGAAACACGGACCAAGGAGUGCAACAUGCGUGCGAGUCCCGGGGUGGCAAACCCGUCGGCGCAAUGAAAGUGAAGGCGACGCUUGCGUCGCUGUGGCGAGAGCCCUCCACCUCCACGGGGGGCGCAUCGUCGACCGAUCCCUGUGUCACGCUGUGGCGGGAUUUGAGUGAGAGCGUGCCUGUUGCGACCCGAAAGAUGGUGAACUAUGCCUGAA
rnacentral:rRNA from 1 species